rnacentral:rRNA from 1 species
UACGUAGGGGGCUAGCGGUGUCCGGAAUCAUUGGGCGUAAAGAGCGUGUAGGCGGUCCGGUAAGUCCGCUGUGAAAGUCGGGGGCUCAACCCUCGAAUGCCGGUGGAUACUGUCGGGCUAGAGUGCGGAAGAGGCGAGUGGAAUUCCGCGUGUAGCAGUGAAAUGCGUAGAGAUGCGGAGGAACACCGAUGGCGAAGGCAGCCCCCUGGGCUAGCACUGACGCUCAGGCACGAAAGCGUGGGGAGCAAACAGG